GAAGGCAGCCAUAUCACCCUAUAGCCCAAGGCUAGUUACCCACUGAAGCAAAGCAGGGCUGAGCCUGGUCAGUACCUGGAUGGGAGACCUCCUGGGAAAACUAGGUUGCUGCUGGAA
rnacentral:rRNA from 1 species